rnacentral:rRNA from 1 species
CCUACGGGUGGCAGCAGUCGAGAAUCAUUCACAAUGGGGGAAACCCUGAUGGUGCGACGCCGCGUGGGGGAAUGAAGGUCUUCGGAUUGUAAACCCCUGUCAUGUGGGAGCAAAUUAAAAAGAUCGUACCACAAGAGGAAGAGACGGCUAACUCUGUGCCAGCAGCCGCGGUAAUACAGAGGUCUCAAGCGUUGUUCGGAAUCACUGGGCGUAAAGCGUGCGUAGGCUGUUUCGUAAGUCGUGUGUGAAAGGCGCGGGCUCAACCCGCGGACGGCACAUGAUACUGCGAGACUAGAGUAAGGGAGGGGGAACCGGAAUUCUCGGUGUAGCAGUGAAAUGCGUAGAUAUCGAGAGGAACACUCGUGGAGAAGGCGGGUUCCUGGACAUUAACUGACGCUGAGGCACGAAGGCCAGGGGAGCGAAAGGGAUUAGAUACCCCUGUAGUC